rnacentral:lncRNA from 1 species
UACAAUUGAAAUAAUAAUCCCCUUCCCUAUUUCCCCUCCAAACACUCACCAUCCCAUCCCCCUCUCCUCUUUGCCUCCACCCACUCCAGAUUCACACUGCUCUAGCAUCGCCCUACACUGGGGCAUCAAGCCUCCACAGGACCAAGGGCCUCCUCUCCCACUGGUGCCAGAUGAAGCCAUCCUCUGCUACAUAUAGAGCUGGAGCCAUGCAUCUCUCCAUUCAUACUCUUUGGUACCCACAAAGCAACUUCAUUGGAAACUUUUGCCCCAAGGAAUGGCUAAUAACUUUCCAUUAUGUAAAAAAUU